AAAUAUCCUAAUUGGAGAACUAUUUUGGUAAUAUCAUCAUUCUCAUGGUCUAAUAUUACUAUUAUUCUAAUAGGAAUUAACAUUAUCAUCACCAUUGUCAUCAUUUACAUGAGAAAAAUGCCCUCAUAACCUUACACUUAAUACCCUUUUUACUCUUAUCAUUUAACUCCAAAAUUAUUUUGGGACCCAUAUACCGUAAAUAUAGUUUAACAAAAACAUUAGAUUGUAAAUCUAAUAAUAGAAACUUAAAACUUCUUAUUUACCAAGAAAGUAGGCAA